GUUUUUAUAGUUUAAAAUAAAACUCUGGUCUUGUAAACCAAAAUUAAGAAAUAUUCUUUAAAAACU
rnacentral:tRNA from 1 species